rnacentral:rRNA from 1 species
AUGGACCCGACAGAGAUUUUGAACGUCAGGUUUCAUAUAGGGGGGCAGUUUGUUCAAAUUGGUCCUUCUCUGGACUAUGUUGGGGGAGAUGUGGCUUACUCUGAGAUUGAGAGGGACAAGCUGUCCUUGCAGGAGGUCAAGGGUUUUCUUGCAGAUCAUUUGACCGUAAAGGAAAGCAUGAAGUAUUAUUUUGUUAUGCCUGGUAGAGACCUGAUUAAUGGGUUGUUGUUUCUACAUGAUGAUGCUGGUUGCAUGAUGAUGUCAGAUCAUACAACAGAUGGUGGAGUUGCAGAAAUUUUGGUGGAGUACAAUGGGGAACAGGAUGAAGAAGGAGAGGAGAGUGGCUCUGAUUUUGAGGAGGAAAUU